AAAGCGGCUCAAUUCUUUAAUGGAGGACAGCAGAGAUGUUGCACAGUAAGGGCAAGAACACAGUACAAAGACACAAGAAAGACAAUGAGACAAACAGACCCAGUUCCUGCUGCUGUGAAGGUCAUCACACCACUGAUCUACUGACCGUCCUUCUACGAGAUGCCCAGCCGA